AUAGAUGUGGUCGACGCGGGUCGAAGUAUAGUGCCUGUUAAUAUGAGCCUAAUAUGUGAUGCGGGUUGUAUUUAAACCUAGUAUAUUCAAGUUAUUUUUGCAAGUUGGCGGAAUGCUUAAUGCCUACAGCACCUCCUCCGCGGGUCGGCCCGGUAUUGUACUAUCUUCGGGAUCGGCCCACGUAUG